rnacentral:misc_RNA from 1 species
UUCUGUGGCAUUCAUUGCGUGC